rnacentral:rRNA from 1 species
CACGUAGGGCGCAAGCGUUGUCCGGAAUUAUUGGGCGUAAAGGGCGCGUAGGCGGGAUGGCAAGUCGGUCGUGAAAUCCUUCGGCUCAACCGAAGAACGUCGAUCGAUACUGCUGUUCUUGAGGGUUGCAGAGGAGACUGGAAUUCCCGGUGUAGCGGUGAAAUGUGUAGAGAUCGGGAGGAACACCGGUGGCGAAGGCGGGUCUCUGGGCAAUUCCUGACGCUGAGGCGCGAAAGCGUGGGGAGCAAACGGG